AAUAUUUGACAAUGGGGGCAACCCUGAUCCAGCCAUGCCGAGAGUGUGAAGAAGGUCUUCGGAUUGUCCCGCACUUUAAGUUGAGAGGAAGGGCUUUAGGUUAAUACCCUGUAUUUUUGAUGUUACCAACAGCAUAAGCCUGUCUAACUCUGUGCCAGCAGCCGCGGUAAUACAGAUGGUGCAAUCGUUAAUCGGAAUUACUGGGCGUAAAGCGCGCGUAGGUGGUUCAGUAAGAUGGGUGUGAAAUCCCCGGGCUUAACCUGGGAACUGCUUUCAUAACUGCUGAGCUAGAGUACGGUAGAGGGUAGUGGAAUUUCCUGUGUAGCGGUGAAAUGCGUAGAUAUAGGAAGGAACACCAGUGGCGAAGGCGACUACCUGGACUGAUACUGACACUGAGGUGCGAAAGCGUGGGGAGCAAACA
rnacentral:rRNA from 1 species